GAUGAGAGAUGAAAGAAGAAAGUAAGAGCAAAAUGCACAAUCCAGCAAGUCAGGAGACCAUCUGCUAAAUGGGAUCGGCAACCUGGAUCCUUGCCUUCCAAUAGGCUCUAUCUAAGGUCAUACUUGGUAUAAGACCCAAACUAUGCAUGUCAUUUCUCAUAAUUUCUUCUAUGGUUAUUUUAGGCUUCUCCUAUGGUCAUUUUAGGUCUGUCCCUAGUUAUUUUUGCUCCAUCAGUCGGUAGCAUAUCAAUACUUCUUAUGGGGGCGUCUCUAGGCCUUUGUUGAACAUGAUCAUGUUAUCUCAAACGACUUUAUCGAAGCUUGUCAUUGAUAGGGGUGACUCUUAGAUCAGCUUUAAUACUUUCAUUCCUUAUUUUAUCCUUCCUAAUUUUUUCACACAUCCAUCUUAACAUCUUCAUCUCUACUACACAAAGCUUCGUAAUAUGACACUCUUUGACUGCCCAACAUUUCGCUCCAUACAUCAUAGCCGGCCGAACAACAGUUCUAUAAAACUUUCCUUUGAGCUUUAAAGGGAUACGUUAGUCACGCAGUACUUGUUGCACCUCUGCACUUCGUCCAUGACACUUUAAUUCUCUGUAAAACAUCCCCUAUGUCCCCGUCAUUGUUUAUAAUUUAUCCCAUAUACCUAAAGGAAUCACUUUGCGGUAUCUCUUUUUCCUCAAUUCUCACCAUGUCAUUAUCCAUCAUAGUAUUACUAAAAUUACACAUCAUAUACUCUGUCUUUGUUCUACUAAUCUUGAAUCUUCUUAUUUCCAACGUUGAUCUCCAUAGUUCUAACUUAUUGUUAAUCCUUGUUUUUGUCUCAUCCACCAAGGCAAUUUCAUUAGCAAAAAGCAUACACCAUGGGACCUUGUCUUGAAUGUUCUUAGUUAGCUCAUCCACAAUAAGUGCAAAUAAAUAUGGGCUUAUGGUUGACCAUUAAUGUAACUCAAUCAUAAUUGGGAAUUCCUUGCCCAGACCUCCCACAGAUCUCACACCAGUCACCCCCCUCAUACAUAUCUUUGAUUAUCUCCAUAUAUUUACUCGAUCCCCCUCUCUUCACUAGAACAUAUUAGAGUAAGUCUCUAGGGACUUUGUCAUAGGCUUUUUCAAGGUCAAUAAAUGCUAUAUGGAGAUCCUUCUUGAUAUCUUUGUACCUUUCCAUGAGCCUCCUCUAUAAGCAGAGAGCUUCUGUUGUGGACCUACCUGACAUAUUGAAUAUGUUUCUAUGAAGGAAAAUUAUUUUUAAGUUGUUUUUUGCAGUUUUUGUAAAGGUAGUUCCAUAUUGCAUCUUUGGUCUAAGACUGAGGUUUAUAAAAACACUUCUCUUGUUAUACAUCAAGGCGUUAAUAUUUUUGUUUUGUUUUGUUUUGUUUUUUUUUUCUUUAACUUCAAUAAAUUUCCCUUGUUGGUAUAUAGAAGUAAACUUUCGUUCUUUCAAGUUAUUUUUUAUUUCAGUUAAGUAUUGAUCAGUUGGAACUUUGGUUGUUGUUGUUGUUGAUGAUGAAAAGAGAGUUACACAUUUUGAUGGUUGUCAUAUUAAGUAUGGCCUUAUUUAUAUCCUGUAAGAGUUGUUGCUUGGUGCAGUGCUAAGGGCUUUGAGCUGCAAAUGUGAUGACAGGUGUGUCUCUGAGAACAGGAUUCUUUGUGCAAAAAUACCACAGUCAGUGGGUGACUACCGAUGGGAUGGUCCACAAUAGGCAUACCGCUAUUGAUAAUUUGGUAAGAUUGUGUUCUACCAUUGAUAAACCUGUACAAUGCCACUCCGAGACCUCGCUGCAGUGAGAGCUUUGUGCACUGGGUAUGAUCUUUUUUUAUAUAUUAUUUAUUGUCAAGUUUCUAUAUAAACAUAUUAGAGUUUUGAUUUUAUGGCAAAACUAUUCUCAUCGCAUAUUUUAAGUCAUAAUCUCUAUUGGGGAAUAAGGAUUCUCCAUUUUUGUGGAUAGAAAACCUAUUGGUAGGGAUUCUAUGGAGUAAGUUUUCCCUGAAGUCCAAAGGAUCAGAGAAAAAAUCCCAACGCUCGAAGAAAGAAGCAAGCAAAGAUCCUUUAGCUUGUUGUCGUAUUCCAAGGGCAACUUGUCCCAUCUAUUCAGACAUGUCUCAUCCACAUUUAAAAAAAAUUGAAUAAGUGGUUGAGGAAUUUUUCUUCUUUCUCUCAAAAUUGCUGAUCGGCUUGCUAAGAGCCUCACUAUUUUUGAACCUAUUGGUGAAGAUGAGAAGAGCCCUGCCAGUCAUGACAUUAUUGAUCUUCGUAUGGAUUAGUCAUGUAUCAAAUUUUAUAUUCAAAUUUAAUCAAAUACAACCUUGUUUA